rnacentral:rRNA from 1 species
UACGUAGGGUGCAAGCGUUAAUCGGAAUUACUGGGCGUAAAGCGUGCGCAGGCGGUUAUGCAAGACAGAUGUGAAAUCCCCGGGCUUAACCUGGGAACCGCAUUUGUGACUGCAUAGCUGGAGUACGGCAGAGGGGGAUGGAAUUCCGCGUGUAGCAGUGAAAUGCGUAGAUAUGCGGAGGAACACCCGUAGCGAAGGCGGCACUCUGGGCCGGAACUGACGCUGAGGAGCGAAAGCGUGGGGAGCAAACAGG